GAACUCUGGUAUUGAUUGGUGCUUGCAUCAUGAUUUACAUUUGAGUGAGUGGCGAACUGGUGAGUAACACGUGGGAAACCUGCCCAGAAGCGGGGGAUAACACCUGGAAACAGAUGCUAAUACCGCAUAACAACUUGGACCGCAUGGUCCGAGUUUGAAAGAUGGCUUCGGCUAUCACUUCUGGAUGGUCCCGCGGCGUAUUAGCUAGAUGGUGAGGUAACGGCUCACCAUGGCAAUGAUACGUAGCCGACCUGAGAGGGUAAUCGGCCACAUUGGGACUGAGACACGGCCCAAACUCCUACGGGAGGCAGCAGUAGGGAAUCUUCCACAAUGGACGAAAGUCUGAUGGAGCAACGCCGCGUGAGUGAAGAAGGGUUUCGGCUCGUAAAACUCUGUUGUUAAAGAAGAACAUAUCUGAGAGUAACUGUUCAGGUAUUGACGGUAUUUAACCAGAAAGCCACGGCUAACUACGUGCCAGCAGCCGCGGUAAUACGUAGGUGGCAAGCGUUGUCCGGAUUUAUUGGGCGUAAAGCGAGCGCAGGCGGUUUUUUAAGUCUGAUGUGAAAGCCUUCGGCUCAACCGAAGAAGUGCAUCGGAAACUGGGAAACUUGAGUGCAGAAGAGGACAGUGGAACUCCAUGUGUAGCGGUGAAAUGCGUAGAUAUAUGGAAGAACACCAGUGGCGAAGGCGGCUGUCUGGUCUGUAACUGACGCUGAGGCUCGAAAGUAUGGGUAGCAAACAGGAUUAGAUACCCUGGUAGUCCAUACCGUAAACGAUGAAUGCUAAGUGUUGGAGGGUUUCCGCCCUUCAGUGCUGCAGCUAACGCAUUAAGCAUUCCGCCUGGGGAGUACGGCCGCAAGGCUGAAACUCAAAGGAAUUGACGGGGGCCCGCACAAGCGGUGGAGCAUGUGGUUUAAUUCGAAGCUACGCG
rnacentral:rRNA from 1 species